rnacentral:tRNA from 3 species
GGGGCCGUAGCUCAGUUGGUAGAGCGCCUCGUUCGCAAUGAGGAGGUCAGCGGUUCGACUCCGCUCGGCUCCACCA